GAGAUAUGAGCGUUUUCAUGUGAUAAGUGACGAUGGAUUAUGGUUGACUAUUUCGAUCGAGCCCUUAACGUUGUCGGAUCCUGUUGAAUUUUUUACCAUAGACAUCUUUCGUCAUAAUGAUCAUAUCUAACGGUCGAAUUUUUGUUUGUGAAUUUUAGUCAUCAGAAUCACAACGUGUCUACUUAUGUUAUAUAACUUGUUUAGUAGGUUAUACAACUUUGUAAACCAACUCUACAUAGGAAGCAAAAUUAUCAAAAAUGGCGAAAUACGGCUAUGGUUCAAAAAUCACGUAAAUCGGGUAACGUCUCGGUGCCGAUAGUAGCGGUCAACCCUAUUUACCGUUAUUAUUCCCUAUGGGAAGCCUUAUCGUCGGAAGGUAAGUGUUUCAAAAUUUUUAUAUAGGCGGUUGCGUCUCAUCUACGUGAAAGUUUUUCGUGUGGAAGGUUUGACCAAACUACGUAAUAUAGAGGAGAUAUGAGCGUUUUCGUGAAUUUAUAGACUUUAGCCGACGAGAUAUUAAAAAAAGUCGUCGGCUAAGGUCAAAUUUUUAUUUGGCAAACCAAAUUUGGGGGAAAAUUUUCAAAAUUUUCAAAGGACUUAAUCCGACGAAAAUAUAUAAUUUCGUCGGCUAUUGUCAAAAAAAUUUUAAGCAGUCAACCAAAAUUUUCAAAAGAGUUUAGCCGACGAAAAUAAAGAAUUUCAUCGGGUAAAAUUCUUUAUGUAGGAGUUUUACCGGAGGUGGAUGGUAAGAAGUCCGAAAAUCAGAAAAAGUUACUGUUUCGCCUGCCGGAUUUUCUUCUCGGCCUAGCUUCGCCGUCAAGCCACCGGAGACCGCCACACUUGUCCCAAAAGCUUCGCCGUCGUCUCUACUUCAUUGCUGGACAGGUGGUGCAUCGAGUGGCGCCGCCGUGAGGGAUAAAUCUUGCUUCAAAACUCUGCCGGUUCGGAUUCGGUGUCGAUCGAAUUUCUCCUUCCUCAGGUCACCAUUUGGUGAGUUCUAUAUAUGGAUAAGUUGAGUUUGAUUAGUACUAAUUCCCCUAGAAUUUGAUAGCCCAAUUCAGUGUGUGUGAGGAGAAUCGAAGAUUUGAAGUUUUUAGGGUUUAAAAUUGGGGAUUUUUAUAUUUUGAUUCAAUUGACUUGUUUAGGCUUAGAAUUGAGCUUCGACUUCUUCUAGAAAGUUGUUCGAAAUGUUGAGAGGAAGAUUUUGUCAAAUUUUGGUGGUGAUUGGAGGUGGCCGAAAGUUUCUGCAGUUUUUUUUUUCAAAAACUAGCAACUUUAGCCGACGAUAUUUAAAUACUUUAGCCGAAGAUAUUCAUCGGGUAUAGUAUUUUUUAAAUUUUUUAUAAGGUUUAGCCGACGAAUUAUGGCAUGUUUCGUCGGCUAAACACUUCUAAAGCUGAUGAAACAGACUAUAUUUCGUCGGCUAUAGUUAUUUUUUUAAUUUUUUAUUACAUACUUUAGCCGACGAAUAUCGUCGGCUAAAGUCUCAUACUAUGGUCGACGAAACAUUUAAGAUAUUCGUCGGCUAUUGUCCCAGAUAAUAACCGACGACGUCUUCUAGUGUCAUCGGCUAAAGUCAUCGCCGACGACCCUUUUCCGACGAACCUAUAGCCAACGAAGGCUCGUCGGCUAAGAUCUUAGCCGACGAAUUAAACUAACAAGCCUAAAGUGCUUGUCCUAGUAGUGUAUCCAUAAUCCAUUCAAACUUGUUAUUCCAUAAUUGAUAUAAUAUAAAAUGAAUAGAAAAUUUACUUCUCAUCUUCAAGAGUCCAUCUCAUCAUCAACUAGCUCGAUCUCUAGCAUAGUAACACCUAAUAGACAAGAAGAUGAACUAAUAUAAUUAUCAUAUUCAUAAUCUAUCCAAUCCAUAAUUGAUCUAAUAUAAAAUGAAUAUAAAAUUUACCUUUUUUAUUAUUUUAUUUUUUUUAAGUCUGAAACGCUGACGUGACGUGUCGUAAUGCCAUGUCGGGGCCGGUCAACGUGUCCGAAAAGUUAACUUUUUUGGACACGCCACGUGGGGUGUCGGACACGUAUUUUGCCGUGUCGGCGUGUCGGAGUGUCUGUGCAACAUAGCAAAGAGAUUAUUUGGGUGUAAAUGAAAGAUGAUGACGAAGAUUACUUUUAGGACUUGAUUCGUUCGCAAAUUUGAGAGCUUUCAAAAACAAAAAACAAAAACCAGUUUUACAGACGAAGGCAAAAGCAAAGAGUGUGCACUACUGCAUGCUGAUUUAGGUUAACGAAUCAAGAUGCACAAUCACCCUUAAGUACUACUGUUACUGGUUUGAUUAAGAUACAACUAAUUAAGAUGCACAAUAAUCACCAGGCCUAUCUAAGUGUUUCAUCAACUUUCUUCUAACAGUUAGGUUAAGAAGCAAAAAGACCAUAAUUCGGUCAUAAAGGAAGUAAAUAAGUAUAUGGUAUCAACUUGCUAUUUUAGAUGUACGUUGGUAUGAAACUACUCCUACAGUCCUACCACUGUCAGCUCUUGUUGCUGGGUUUGUAUGACCCCAUCAUAAAUAUAUAAAAGCUUCUCGUCUUUCUCUCCAGAAAAGAAAAAAAAAAUUGCUAGGAAUGACUGCAUAUAUAAAGUGAUGAUAGAUAGGACUGGAAAACUAGGGCUCUAUCUUCAUCACUCAUGACCAAACCCCCAGACGACCCGAUUCGGAUGGAAAUCAGAGAGCCGUGCAAACUCAGUUUUGAAGCUCUAUAUGGUUGUCUUUGACAAAUAUAUAUACCAACUACGUACGGUACUGCUGUAUUAUGUGAUUUAUGUCUGUCAUUGUUCAAAUUCAACUAGUACUACACCCAAACAUGGUCCUGUAAAUCAAAAAUUCUUCCAUUCACCUAUUUCUAGCCGAAUCAUAAAGGGAAAUAAUUCACCUUUCUUCUAGAAAUAAUUGACUGUAAAUAUGGAGACGUACAUGAGAAAUUUAUAAGAAUUUGAACAAUGUUUAUUGUAAAGAUCCUCAAACAAUUAAGACAGCAAAGUAUGCAAUCCAUCCUCACAAUACAAGUCCUACCGAAAUUUGGAAACCCCCAACCUGAAGGCUAAUUCGAUCUGGAGGGAGCUCAGCAUUUCUUUCUAUCCAUAAUUACUUCUCUACUUGUCUGCUACUACUAACUUCGAACCCUAUCAAAUCUCUUGCUCUGGACCUCCAAAGUUUGAACCCAGAAAUCAAGUAGAAUCAUUUAUUUCUUAUUGUCUUCAGGGUAAUAUACUGCAAUACCACAAGAUCUGCGUAUUAUUGAUGUAUAUAAACAAGUAGUGCCAUUAAUCUCACAAUCCCUCCCGUAAAGUCUCACUGCCUGCCAAAAAGAGAAACAAUUCAUUCAAAAUUUCAUGUUAUUUCAUGACUUGCUAGUUUUUACCAGACAAUGUAAAUCUUAAAUUCUCAUGUUCAUUUCUUCUUCAUUGCCAAGAGUUCCAAUUCAUAUAUACAGCAAGAAUUACAUUAACAAAUUGAGACGUUGCUCCAAGCCUUAGCUAAACUGCAUUGAGACGUUCCAACUUGUCAUAUAUAAAGUUCCCAUUUCCCAUUCGGAAGUGUUGAGGUAUUGAAUUUGUAGUCCAUUCCUCUUUAUACAGUUUGGGUCAAUCUAACUUAUUUAAUGUACGUAAAAGUUGUUUCAGUUGUUAACAGAAGUUUCUAAACUUACCUCAUAGAAUUUUUUCAUAUAUCUCUCGCAGUUUUCAUUUGGAAACUUGAUGUAAGUUGUAUCAUCGGCUUCUUCCAUUGGAUUUGGACGACGACUAAUCUUGGACCCAGGAAAUUUCCUCACAAGUUCAUCCUGACGUUCACUAGGAGUAGGAGUACCUUCUUUUUUUUUGGAAUUAAAAAUACCUAACGAAACAUAUUAAGUACGUUUACGUAAAAAUAACAAAAAUUAAAAAAUAAAAGAAGAAGAAGAAGAAGAUUGACCUUAACCUUACAAAGAAGGCAUGCAAGAAACUAAUACAACCGGUACCACUUAGACAAUGCAAAAAUGUGUCAUACAUAAAAUACAAGUAUAUAAUUUCCUUAUAAAAAAACAAAAAACAAAAAAUGCAUAUCUUAGCAGCUCUGCGUGAAGAAGACAACCAAAAAAAAAACCUAAAUGACGAUAAGAGAUCUGGUACAAUAAUAAUUAUUUCGAGCCACAUAUCCAGACAUUCACACACACACAUAUAUAUAUGAAAUUAACAAAGUACGUACAUAAGAGUAUAGAAUAAGAAACUCACUUACUCUUUAGUUUGCGUUGUGGUGGUGGUUUUGGUUUUGGUUGGGAUUCUGGUUGUGGUUGUGAGUCUGGUUGCGGUGGUGGUUUUGAUUGGGAUGUUGGUUGUGGUUGUGGUUUUUCGGCAAACAAAUCACUAAACAUGGAGAACAAACCGGAUUCUGCAAAAGUUAAAAGUAAAACACAAUCAAUUUGGUUCAUCGAAUCGGUUAAACUCUUACGAUUAAAACUCAAAACUGAAAAUCCUGGAGUUUAAAAAAUAAAUAAAUAAUAAUAACCUUCCGGAUUUGAUUGAGCCAUGAAAUUCCCGGUGGAGAAGGACAGGACUCACAGGAGGAGCAGCUGAUCGAAUAGGGUUUUAUUUUCUUGUUGUCCAAGCUUAUACAUAUGAUGGGAGAGCCAGAUGAACAACAUAGGCCAUCCGGGACGUAUUAAUAUAAAGCCUUAACUUUUUUUUUUGAAAGUAUAUAAAGCCUUAACUUAUGGGCCACGGAAUUGCAUUGGGCUAGGCCUGGUUACUUUGGGGUUAACGAAUCACGAUGCACUGUCACCCUUAAGUACUACUUCAAUUACUGUUUGAUUAAGAUACAACUAAGAUGCACAAUUGCCCGAUCUAAUUAUGCAAGUGUAUUGUACCUUAAAAAAAAAAAAAAAAAAAAUCUAAGUGUUUCAUCAACUUUCUUCUAACAGUUAGGUUAAGAAGCACAUAGACCUUAAUUUGGUUAUAGAGGAAGUAAAAAUUUAGUCUAAUUAUAUAUUCAAGUCACUGGGACUGACUGCAUAAAGUGAUCAUGAUAGAUGGGACUGGAAAACUUGAGCUAGGACUGGAAAACUUGAGCUAGGGUUCUGUCGUCAUCACUCAACAACCCCCCAAAUGACCCGAUUCGGAUGGAAUAUCAGAGACCAAAAGAUGCUUUUGAAAACCAGAAUGUGUUCCAUGCACAUUGCUUUUGCACUUGCCAAAAGUGCGACAAGGUUCAAUGUGUCACACAGAUUAUAGUGGCCUGUCAUUUUGGUUGGUACGCGUACUAAGUAAGUGUGAUUUUGGAUAAAAUUGAAGUGGCUUUUCUAAAUGGAUGUGAGACUCGUGACCUUAACCACCCAAUAAUGGCUAAAAGUUAGGCAUUUUUGAUAGUAUUUUGCCAAUAAGGCUUUUGAACAAUCAUAGGUUCUGGGAAAGUGUUGGAGAUGCAUGGUACGUAGUUGAUAGUGUUUUGCCAAUAAGGCUUUUGAACAAUCAUAGUUUCUGGGAAAGU
rnacentral:lncRNA from 1 species